rnacentral:rRNA from 1 species
AGUGAACGCUGGCGGUAGGCCUAACACAUGCAAGUCGAACGGCAGCACAGUAAGAGCUUGCUCUUACGGGUUGCGAGUGGCGGACGGGUGAGGAAUACAUCGGAAUCUACUUUUUCGGGGGGGAUAACGUAGGGAAACUUACGCUAAUACCGCAUACGACCUACGGGGGAAAGCAGGGGAUCUCUGGACCUUGCGCGAUUGAAUGAGCCGAUGUCGGAUUAGCUAGUUGGCGGGGUAAAGGCCCACCAAGUCGACGAUCCGUAGCUGGUCUGAGAGGAUGAUCAGCCACACUGGAACUGAGACACGGUCCAGACUCCUACGGGAGGCAGCAGUGGGGAAUAUUGGACAAUGGGCGCAAGCCUGAUCCAGCCAUACCGCGUGGGUGAAGAAGGCCUUCGGGUUGUAAAGCCCUUUUGUUGGGAAAGAAAAGCAGCAGGUUAAUACCCCGCUGUUCUGACGGUACCCAAAGAAUAAGCACCGGCUAACUUCGUG